rnacentral:rRNA from 1 species
AGCAGCCGCGGUAAUUCCAGCUCCAAUAGCGUAUAUUAAAGUUGUUGCAGUUAAAAAGCUCGUAGUUGAAUUUCGGGAUCAAGUCGUCGGUCGUGCCUCGGUACGCACUGGUGACAUUGGUUUCUCCCUUCUGAAGAACCUUGAUGUCAUUAAUUUGGUGUCUUGGGGAAUCAGGACUGUUACUUUGAAAAAAUUAGAGUGUUUAAAGCAGGCUCACGCUUGAAUACAUUAGCAUGGAAUAAUGAAAUAGGACGUUUGAUUCUAUUUUGUUGGUUUCUAGGAUCGACGUAAUGAUUAAUAGGGAUAGUUGGGGGCAUUAGUAUUCAAUUGUCAGAGGUGAAAUUCUUGGAUUUAUUGAAGACUAACUACUGCGAAAGCAUUUGCCAAGGAUGUUUUCAUUAAUCAAGAACGAAAGUUAGGGGAUCGAAGACGAUCAGAUACCGUCGUAGUCUUAACCAUAAACUAUGCCGACUAGGGAUCGGAUGAUGUUAAUUUUUUAAUGACUCAUUCGGCGCCUUACG